AUGUUUGUCUUUGGAUUCAUAAUUUGUUGCAGAGAAGCCGCAACCUGCAAAACCAAGGGCCUUUGUGUUUGUGUCUCUGCCAUGUCUAGAGAUCAAGGCUGGGCAGACCUGCCAGAUGUGCUGCUUCAUUCCAUCAUUGCUCUGGCAAGCUCCUUCACCGACCUCUUUGCCUUCGCUCACACCUGCUGCUCUUGGCGUGCUGCCUUCUUCUCGUAUCCAUCGAAGUCUGCCUUCUCGAUGAUCUUCCCGCCUGUGCUCCUGCAACCUGAUGCCUCCGUGCACUCUCCAUGUCAUCGCCCCCUUGGCGAUAAGCGUACAUGUCAUGUCAUUGAUCCAGCCAGCAAACACUCGCGUAUUGGCUACCAUAUUCCCCUAGUUAAUCUUUCUCGAGCAAAUAAUCACCCCCAAAAUUCUCUGGGUAGUUUUUGCUUCCUGGGUGCUUCUUAUGGCCAUCUCAUCUUCUCCAGGAACAGAUCAUGUCUCAUUGUUGAUGUGUUUACAGGUGUUAGUUUUUCACCACCACAGAUACCGGGCGACGAAUCCACCGAGGUCUACUACGGUGCCCUCACGGCUCCUGUAGAGUCACCCAACCCAUAUCUCAUUGCCACCAAUGAAUCCCACAGUUACUUUUGGCGUGUUGGCAGUCGCUCUUGGUUGAGAGCUUGUCCUUGUGAUGGAACUGUCCAGCAGAUUGUGACCUUCAAAGGCCAGGUCUUCGGCUUGGACUCUGGUGGCAUGCUCUUUGUUGUGCACUUGGCACCUUUGAUUCGCGUACGGAUGAUGGGAGUCAGUUGGGAGGAAAUCUCCACGCGUCAUCUUGCCAACCUAUAUCUGGUGGCGUGUGGUGAUAUGCUUCUCUUGGUCGGGUGUCAGGGGUCGUUUCCGGCAAGAGGGGAUACCUUCGAAGUCUUCCGCCUCGACCAGUCGACUGAACAUGCAAUGUGGGUGAAGGUGGAGGAGUUGGAGAAUUGGGCGAUCUUCAUCAGCACCGACAAGAGAAGCCAGCCAUUAUCUUUCAGGAACCCGGAAAGGUGGGGAGGGAGGAGCAACUGCGUGUACUACUAUUCCCAUGAUUCCGAACACUGGGCUGCAUUUGAGCUGGGGAAGCCUGCCUCCAGCCGAAACAGCUUUGUUUUCAUAAGCUCUGGCAAUUUAGUGCAACCUAUGUGGGUUGUCCCUAGCAUGUUCUCCCAGUCCCCGUGA
rnacentral:rRNA from 1 species